AGGAGCCGGGAUCUCCUGUGAGGAGUCGGGAUCUCCUCCGGGCAGUCGGGAUUUCCUCUGAGGAGCCGGGCUCCCCCUGUGGAGCCGGGAUCAGGGGCUGGGAUCUCCCUGGCAGACCUGGCUUCCCCUGAAAAGCCGGGAUCUCGUCUGUGGAGCGCCAUCUGCCCCGGCGAGCAGCGCUGAGGGGAUGACGGCGGGCCAGCUGCCUUAGGAGAGCUGGUGUCUCUGAUAGCUCAACUUUCAUCCUAAAACUGAUUCCUGAUUUAAAUUACAUCUCUGUGUUUGUACCGCCCUAGAGGAAAUACGGAGUCUGUGUAACCUGCAGUCUGUUUAGGAAUGCAGUUGGUGGACGUGGCUGUCAUUCCGUAAAACCGCAGCAGAACUAUUCUGUCCUGCAGUUUGGGCACCCUCAAUGUACUGGAGUGUCACUAAACCCUUCCCACUCCUCAUGGCACAGAGAAUAACCCAGUACUGAGCAAUACUCAAUACUGAGCCCCAGGAAGAUUGACAUCUAAAGAAAACAUUUGCCUUUUUUCUAAAAUAUUUAAUUAUGAUGGUGCAUCAUCAUUAAAUACAAGCAGGUUUGACUUCCAUACUAGGGACAAGGACUUUAGAAAUCCUUAUGCACAUUGGGGACAGGAGGGGAAGAGGGGACAAGAGAGCAAGGACUUGUGCCAUAUCCAAAUACCCCAUAAAGGAUGGCAGCUUUGCUACAACAGACAGCAAUCCACGAAUCUGUUGCAUGAAUUCUCUUUUCUGUCCUUUGACAAUGGCCAAAGAGACAAACCACCCAGUUCUAGAAAGCCAGCAGCAGAACAAUGAGGGGCAAGCAGCUGGCACAAAAGCUGUCAGAAUGUGCAAACAAGACAAGGAGUCAGAUGUCUGUCUUGUUUCUAUCUGACUUCUUGUGAUUUUGGCUUUGCUAAAUUUUCAUGAGCUUGUUGUGUUUUUGUUUUUGUUUUUUGGUGGUUUUUUUUGUUUGUUUGGUUUUGUUUUGUUUUGUUUUUUUUCCCAUGUGCUGCUGUUUAGCUUCUCCUGAGGAUCAAUAUUGAUAUUGGUGUUUUUUUUCAAUGAGUCACCAGUGAGAGACACAAUUGAUUUUCACUGAGAAUUCCAUAAAAACAGGUGUGUACAGUCAGUGUGCAUCUGCACAGGAUAGGCCAAAAAAGCCCUUUGUCAGAUUACAAAGCAAGGUGAUCCUUCCCCGCUGGUGAGGCCACAUCUGGACUGGUUAUUUGAUAUACCUUUACCAUGCCUUUUUUAUUUCUUUUCUGACUGCUGCUGUUACAGUUUAUUAUGAUGAGAUUUAUUAUCAUAUAUAAGGGUUUCAGUGGCCAUAUAAUUUCUCACCAUCCUCUUUCUGGUCCUCUCAAUCUAUGAAAGAGAGAUGACCAAAAUUGCACAUUUGCCCAGGUGAAGAUGAAUCUUUACAUUUUUUGGUAUGAAAAUGUUUUUGAUAACAUCCUCUGCCCCACACAGAACCUUUUGCUGCUAUGAUGAUCAGAGGUUUAAGCUGAAAAGCCAUAACAAAUCUACUCUGUAGAUAAUUAGUAAGUAGUUAUAUAAAUAUUACAUUUUAUUUCUAAUGGCCAUUACCUAGCACUAAUCUGCCACUCUUUUGUCUCUAGUCCAGAGCAGCACCUUCAAGUUGACACCAGAAACCUGGGUUGGGACUAAAGCACCUCCUCCAAACUCCUCCAAGUAAUGCUGGUAAAGAGGCCUCAACAGAAAGGCAGUCCUGGGAAACUGGGAGGAAGCUUUAAUUUUAAAUUCAGAAUUGUGCCCAAGACAAUGUGAGCUCUGAAGCUGUUGGAAGGAUUUGCAAAGAAAUAUUUGAGUUAUUAAUUACUAAAUGCAGGCAGAUUGUACAGAUACCUGAACCAAUUGGGCAUGAAGAAAUCCGUGUUGCUUUGUUUGCAGCUGCUGUGCCACUGACGUUCAGUUUGUGCCAUUGGAUGUAAUCAGACUCCAGGGCUGAAAACAAGGGGAAAGCAAUGAGACAGAUUUUACAGCCAGGCUGUGGACAUUGAGACAAAGAUGGAUUAAUUGCAACAUCACUGAGAGAAAGAUCAGAGGGAGAACAGAAGCUGGUAGAUUCUAGUCCAAAUCACCUGACUUUAGGUUCACUUACCUGGGGAGAUGGACUGAGCACUGUCAUGAUAACUGUGACCCAGAUUAUUUCUGGAGUUAAAUAAUUCAGUGGAACACAUGCAAUGAAUGGACACUUCCUUUUGCCCUCAGUGUAACUCAGCCAUGUCCAGUUUAUCCCAGAAUUUCCCUAUUGACCUCUGAUGGGCAUGGCAGGCUUUGCUGGUGGGAUCAGGAAUGCACGAGUGCUCGCUCUCUGCAUGCCACCCUGCAGGAUGGCUGCCUAGAAUGUCACACAGCAUUACAGGGCUCUUUUGAAGAGCAGAUGGAGGCUCCUGCUUACCUCAUCUCUCUCUCAUGAGAAGAAUGUGAAGCUUGGUGAAGCAGCCCAGAGCAGCCUGGAGGAAUGCUAAAAUGGCUGUCAAGGGAAGCCAUGGAGGAGAGCUACCCCUGAGUCUCUACAUAUUUCACUGCCACUGCAGAUGAGCAGAUAGCACCCGAGCAAGCAGUCUGGAGCCUGAUGAAAUCUCAUGGGAAUGACGAGUGCAAUUCACAAAAGGAGGAUGGCAUUUCAGACCUUUCCUGCAAUCCACUGACUAUCCUGAAAAAAAUCUUAGUCCACGGGCUGCUGAAAAACUCAUAAACAUACAGAACUAUCAUAAAUCAUUGUUUGGGUUUUAAAGAAAAUACUGUGCUAUGUAAACGUGCAAGGAGAUGCAGACCCUCUAAUAAUGGUGAUACUAAGAAUGAAAAAUAUCUUGUAUUUAAUGCAAAGCUUUUCAUUAUUUGAGCUAUAAAUUGCAGCAAGUGAAAUGUUUUAUGUUAUAUAUUAAGGACCUUGUCCCAGAAAUAAACAUCUUGAAAUUAAA